rnacentral:rRNA from 1 species
AACGAACGCUGGCGGCAGGCCUAACACAUGCAAGUCGAACGCCGUAGCAAUACGGAGUGGCAGACGGGUGAGUAAUGCGUGGGAACAUACCCCUCGGUUCGGAAUAACUCAGGGAAACUUGAGCUAAUACCGGAUACGUCCGAGGUUUUAAUCGGCCUUGGAGAAAGAUUUAUCGCCGGAGGAUUGGCCCGCGUCUGAUUAGCUUGUUGGUGAGGUAAUGGCUCACCAAGGCGACGAUCAGUAGCUGGUCUGAGAGGAUGAUCAGCCACAUUGGGACUGAGACACGGCCCAAACUCCUACGGGAGGCAGCAGUGGGGAAUAUUGGACAAUGGGCGAAAGCCUGAUCCAGCCAUGCCGCGUGAGUGAUGAAGGCCUUAGGGUUGUAAAGCUCUUUUACCCGGGAAGAUAAUGACGAUACCGGGAGAAUAA